GCGCCGGUGGUGUAAGGCGAACAUCGCUGCCCGGAAAGCAGAAGAUGCGGGUUCGAGUUCCGCUUGGCGCA
rnacentral:tRNA from 1 species